GCUAGGUGAGCGGCUUGUCCUCCAGGCUCUAGGGAAGCUUUGCCGGCUUCUCUGAGGGAGCGAGGCCACCUGUUGGGGUCCCGUGGUCUGUCCGUUGUCGCCUAUUCAGGCUGCUGAAGACAGCGCAUCCGAGGGUGCAUCCUGCGUUCAGGUGGCAGUGUUGAAGCCAAAAGCUUCCAGAAGUGGUUUCUGAAAAAUAGAGUAGUUAAAUGUACAUGAGUAAGGAAACACAGGAAUCCAAAAAACCACAGAAACAGAUGAAGAAACUGAGUCCUGAAAGAUUUCAACACCCUUGAAGUUCCCCGGCCUGAGAAAAGGGCAAGAUGAUAAUUCUACUUAAUUGACACCUUUUCAAAGAUGCAGUUCUGCUCAGCUUUUCAGCUUUGAAUGAAACACAGAUAACUCGUUAGAAAACUUUUGUAAGAAAAGUGCCUCCUUUGAUCAGAACAAAGCCGUUUUGUAAUCAGAUUUACCAAGCGGAGAAGAGGGAGUUUCAGUGAACGGAAGCUGCAGUGUUCUGUCACCAGGAAACACUGUUAUCCAGAAUCGAACUGGCCAUGCACUGUGAAAACCCUUCCACUGACAGCAUGGGCACAGUCCAGCAUCUACAGCUAAACUGAGAAGAGAAGGAGAAUGCUGCCAUCAAAUGUGGCAUGGUCUUUGUUCCAAGAGUCAGAGACUUUGCUGAGGUUGUAUUCCAAGAAAAGUUUCCCAUCUCACAUGCCAGACUUGUCAACUGAAGAAACCAAAGAUAAGAUGUGACGUCAUCCUUCCUCUACUUGCCUCAACUUUCAAAGAUAGAUCAUGUUAUGAUGAAAUGUUUUCUAUGUAAUAUUGCUGACAAGAAGUAAAGCCCUUAGUGCAGUGCCUCAUAUCUCACUACUCCUCCUCAUUUUGGCUUCUCAUCUACCUGCAGGAUCCUAGUCUAUUUUUGUUCUCCCGCUGUCAUUGUCCCAAAACAUAUAUGAAGGACUCUCCAGUCUCAACACAAUCUGAACAUUUUUUGUUUCAAAGUCUCACUAUGCCUGAUGUUCCCUGAAAGUAUGCCCAAGUAUUUAAUGGACUGUCUACUACUGCUGACCACUCCUCAUGAAAGCAGAUGACGACCAUUCCUCAUGAAAGUGAUGGAAUGACAAGGAGCCUAUAAAGAGUUCAAGAAUGGAUUUCCAUGAUGAGAGGAAGAAGAGAAUGGAAAUUGCUUCAAAGAAACACAAGUUUUAUAAUGUGGUUUGUCUACUCUUUUGGCAAAUAAAUUUAAACUUAGAAAUAUUUUUAGAAAGCAGCAAUUCAGGCUAAAAUACCCAGUGGAGUAAUAGAAGUUUUAAAGGCAAAUUUAUUAAUUGUUAAUCACUAAACUGGAGUAUUUUAAUAAGAAAUUAUGUAUUUUACAUUAAUGUAAAUACAAAUGUGACUUAACAAAAAAGUACAAAAGGAAUAAAAGUAUUGCAAAGAUCUAUAGCUGUAAUUAAUUAAUUGUAAUUAAUUAAUUGCCAAUGAUGGUGAUGUAAUAUGUUUUUGUCAUCUCAUGCUGAAUUCAAUGAAAAUAAAUCAAAUGACUUAGAAUUUUAAAAAUAUUAUAUUUUCUGUUCUGUAUGAGGUUUUCUACCUGCUGGUUAAUUUCAUCCCCUACUUUGUACCCAAGCUACUGGCCUUAUAAAAAGGCUCUUAUAGUUUAGGUAUUUGACAACCUUUUUAAGUGUGGUAGAUGGCUCUGUACAGCAUGGACACAUUUAAUUAAACUCAUAGCUACCAAGAGGACAGUGUUUAGCUUCCCUAGGUGUGCAGGUUUUAGUAUGAUUAUCCUAUAUUAUAUGUCUAAUAUCCACUUAUAAGUGAGUAUAUACCAUGUGUGUCUUUCUGCUUCUGGGAUAUCUCACUCAGCAUUAUCUUUUCUAGAUCGCACCAUUUGCCUGCAAAUUUCAUGAUUUCUUUGUUUUUAAUUGCUGAGUAGUAUUUCUUUGUGUAAAUGUACCAUAAUUUCUGUAUCAAUUCCUCAUUUGACAGACAUCUGGGUUGUUACCAGGUUUUGGCUAUUAUGAAUAAAGCUGCU